ACAGAGGGUGCGAGCGUUAAUCGGAAUUACUGGGCGUAAAGCGCGCGUAGGCGGCUUUGCAAGUCGAUUGUGAAAUCCCCAGGCUUAACCUGGGAACUGCAUUCGAGACUGCAUAGCUAGAGUAUGGGAGAGGGAAGUGGAAUUUCAGGUGUAGCGGUGAAAUGCGUAGAUAUCCGAAGGAACAUCAGUGGCGAAAGCGACUUCCUGGACCAAUACUGACGCUCAUGUGCGAAAGCCAGGGGAGCGAACGGGA
rnacentral:rRNA from 1 species